GGGGACCCGCAAGCGGUGGAUGAUGUGGAUUAAUUCGAUGCAACGCGAAAAACCUUACCUACCCUUGACAUGUACGGAAGCCUGGAGAGAUUCGGGUGUGCUCGAAAGAGAGCCGUAACACAGGUGCUGCAUGGCUGUCGUCAGCUCGUGUCGUGAGAUGUUGGGUUAAGUCCCGCAACGAGCGCAACCCUUGUCAUUAGUUGCUACGAAAGGGCACUCUAAUGAGACUGCCGGUGACAAACCGGAGGAAGGUGGGGAUGACGUCAAGUCCUCAUGGCCCUUAUGGGUAGGGCUUCACACGUCAUACAAUGGUACAUACAGAGGGCCGCCAACCCGCGAGGGGGAGCUAAUCCCAGAAAGUGUAUCGUAGUCCGGAUCGCAGUCUGCAACUCGACUGCGUGAAGUUGGAAUCGCUAGUAAUCGCGGAUCAGCAUGUCGCGGUGAAUACGUUCCCGGGUCUUGUACACACC
rnacentral:rRNA from 1 species